CGCGCAUCAGAAAAGGGAGGCUCUUUGCACACUGGUGGAGCUAUUAGCCAGGUUACUAGGAAGGAAAGAAUGGAAAAAGAGUUGGGUAGGCCGGUAGCUGUACCAGAGAUGUUCAAGGUUACUCACGUCAAGAAGAGUACGAACCCCACAGAAGAAGAAAGAUGGAUUGAGCCACGUGCUCAAGAGACAUAUGAUAGGUAUAUACGAAUAUCUCAGGA